GAAUCCGGUUGAUCCUGCCGGACCUGACUGCUAUCGGAUUGAUACUAAGCCAUGCGAGUCAUUGUAGCAAUACAAGGCAGACGGCUCAGUAACGCGUAGUCAAUCUACCCUAUGGACGGGAAUAACCUCGGGAAACUGAGAAU
rnacentral:rRNA from 1 species